rnacentral:rRNA from 1 species
AGAUAAUAGAUACCCAGGUAGUCCUAGCCGUAAACGGUGCACAUUUGCUGUAAGAGGAAUCGACCCCUUUUGUGGCGAAAGCUAAACGCGAUAAAUGUGCCGCCUGGGAAGUACGGUCGCAAGAUUAAAACUCAAAGAAAUUGACGGGGGCCUGCACAAGCGGUGGAGUAUGUGGCUUAAUUCGAUGCAACGCGAAGAACCUUACCUGGCCUUGACAUGCAAGUAGUAGGAGGAUGAAAGUCUAACGAGGUAGCAAUACCAGCUUGCACAGGUGCUGCAUGGCUGUCGUCAGCUCGUGUCGUGAGAUGUUGGGUUAAGUCCCGCAACGAGCGCAACCCUUGUGUCCUGUUGCCACCCAAUCGAGAGAUUGGAGCACUCUGGACAGACUGCCUCGCUUAAACGAGGAGGAAGGUGGGGAUGACGUCAAGUCAGUAUGGCCCUUACGGCCAGGGCUGCACACGUACUACAAUGCCCGCUACAAAGGGAAGCAAGACCGCAAGGUGGAGCAAAUCUCAUAAAA